CCUACGGGUGGCAGCAGUGGGGAAUAUUGGACAAUGGGGGCAACCCUGAUCCAGCCAUGCCGCGUGUGUGAAGAAGGCCCUCGGGUUGUAAAGCACUUUCAGUGAGGAAGAACGCCUGGUGGUUAAUACCCAUCAGGAAAGACAUCACUCACAGAAGAAGCACCGGCUAACUCCGUGCCAGCAGCCGCGGUAAUACGGAGGGUGCGAGCGUUAAUUGGAAUUACUGGGCGUAAAGCGCGCGUAGGUGGCUUGAUAAGCCGGUUGUGAAAGCCCCGGGCUCAACCUGGGAACGGCAUCCGGAACUGUCAAGCUAGAGUGCAGGAGAGGAAGGUAGAAUUCCCGGUGUAGCAGUGAAAUGCGUAGAGAUCGGGAGGAAUACCAGUGGCGAAGGCGGCCUUCUGGACUGACACUGACACUGAGGUGCGAAAGCGUGGGUAGCAAACAGGAUUAGAUACCCUAGUAGUC
rnacentral:rRNA from 1 species